rnacentral:rRNA from 1 species
UGCAGUCGAGCGGACCGACGGGAGCUUGCUCCCUUAGGUCAGCGGCGGACGGGUGAGUAACACGUGGGUAACCUGCCUGUAAGACUGGGAUAACUCCGGGAAACCGGGGCUAAUACCGGAUGCUUGAUUGAACCGCAUGGUUCAAUUAUAAAAGGUGGCUUUUAGCUACCACUUACAGAUGGACCCGCGGCGCAUUAGCUAGUUGGUGAGGUAACGGCUCACCAAGGCAACGAUGCGUAGCCGACCUGAGAGGGUGAUCGGCCACACUGGGACUGAGACACGGCCCAGACUCCUACGGGAGGCAGCAGUAGGGAAUCUUCCGCAAUGGACGAAAGUCUGACGGAGCAACGCCGCGUGAGUGAUGAAGGUUUUCGGAUCGUAAAACUCUGUUGUUAGGGAAGAACAAGUACCGUUCGAAUAGGGCGGUACCUUGACGGUACCUAACCAGAAAGCCACGGCUAACUACGUGCCAGCAGCCGCGGUAAUACGUAGGUGGCAAGCGUUGUCCGGAAUUAUUGGGCGUAAAGCGCGCGCAGGCGGUUUCUUAAGUCUGAUGUGAAAGC